AGUGAACGCUGGCGGUAGGCCUAACACAUGCAAGUCGAACGGCAGCACAGUAAGAGCUUGCUCUUACGGGUGGCGAGUGGCGGACGGGUGAGGAAUACAUCGGAAUCUACUUUUUCGUGGGGGAUAACGUAGGGAAACUUACGCUAAUACCGCAUACGACCUACGGGUGAAAGCAGGGGAUCUUCGGACCUUGCGCGAUUGAAUGAGCCGAGGUCGGAUUAGCUAGUUGGCGGGGUAAAGGCCCACCAAGGCGACGAGCCGUAGCUGGUCUGAGAGGAUGAUCAGCCACACUGGAACUGAGACACGGUCCAGACUCCUACGGGAGGCAGCAGUGGGGAAUAUUGGACAAUGGGCGAAAGCCUGAUCCAGCCAUACCGCGUGGGUGAAGAAGGCCUUCGGGUUGUAAAGCCCUUUUGUUGGGAAAGAAAAGCAGCAGGUUAAUACCCCGCUGUUCUGACGGUACCCAAAGAAUAAGCACCGGCUAACUUCGUG
rnacentral:rRNA from 1 species